rnacentral:rRNA from 1 species
AUUGAACACUGGCGGCACGCUUUACACAUGCAAGUCGAACGGUAACAGGGUGCUUGCACCGCUGACGAGUGGCGAACGGGUGAGUAAUGCGUCGGAACGUGCCGAGUAGUGGGGGAUAACGCAGCGAAAGUUGUGCUAAUACCGCAUACGUACUGAGGUAGAAAGUGGGGGACCUUCGGGCCUCACGCUAUUCGAGCGGCCGACGUCUGAUUAGCUAGUAGGUGAGGUAAAGGCUCACCUAGGCGACGAUCAGUAGCGGGUCUGAGAGGAUGAUCCGCCACACUGGGACGGAGACAGGGCCCAGACUCCUACGGGAGGCAGCAGUGGGGAAUUUUGGACAAUGGGCGAAAGCCUGAUCCAGCCAUGCCGCGUGUCUGAAGAAGGCCUUCGGGUUGUAAAGGACUUUUGUCAGGGAGGAAAUCCCUAGUGCUAAUAACACUGGGGGAUGACAGUACCUGAAGAAUAAGCACCGGCUAACUACGUGCCAGCCGCCGCGGUAA